AUUGAACGCUGGCGGCAGGCCUAACACAUGCAAGUCGAGCGAGCGGCGGACGGGUGAGUAAUGUAUGGGGAUCUGACCGAUAGAGGGGGAUAACUACUGGAAACUGUAGCUAAUACCGCGUACCAUAGGAUGAGCCCACGUGGGAUUAGGUAGUUGGUGGGGUAAAGGCUCACCAAGCCGACGAUCUCUAGCUGGUCUGAGAGGAUGACCAGCCACCCGGGGCCUGGUCCACGCCCCAUACUCCUACGGGUGGCAGCAGUUGGGAAUAUUGCGCAAUGGGGGCAACCUGACGCAGCCAUGCCGCGUGAAUGAAGAAGGCCUUCGGGUUGUAAAGUUCUUUCGGUAGCGAGGCGUUAACUACAGAAGAAGCACCGGCUAACUCCGUGCCAGCCGCCGCGGUAAUUC
rnacentral:rRNA from 1 species